UGGUUCUGGCAUCGAUGAAGAACGCAGCGAAAUGCGAUAAGUAAUGUGAAUUGCAGAAUUUAGUGAAUCAUCGAAUCUUUGAACGCACAUUGCGCCCCUUGGUAUUCCGAGGGGCAUGCCUGUUCGAGCGUCAUUACAACCCUCAAGCACUGCUUGGUGUUGGGCGUGGCCUUUGAUGGCCAGCCUUAAAAUCAGUGGCAGUGCCAUGUGGCUCUAAGCGUAGUAAAUAUCUCGCUUUUGAGUCCCUGUGAGCUCUAGCCAUCAACCCCAAAUUUUCUAUGGUUGACCUCGGAUCAGGUAGGGAUACCCGCUGA
rnacentral:misc_RNA from 1 species